rnacentral:rRNA from 1 species
GGAAGGGGUGUAUUAUUAGAUAAAAAACCAAUGCCCUUUGGGCUCCUUGGUGACUCAUGAUAACUAAACGAAUCGCAUGGCCUUGCGCCGGCGAUGGUUCAUUCAAAUUUCUGCCCUAUCAACUUUCGAUGGUAGGAUAGUGGCCUACCAUGGUGGCAACGGGUAACGGGGAAUUAGGGUUCGAUUCCGGAGAGGGAGCCUGAGAAACGGCUACCACAUCCAAGGAAGGCAGCAGGCGCGCAAAUUACCCAAUCCCGAUUCGGGGAGGUAGUGACAAUAAAUACUGAUACAGGGCUCUUUUGGGUCUUGUAAUUGGAAUGAGUACAAUUUAAAUCCCUUAACGAGGAACAAUUGGAGGGCAAGUCUGGUGCCAGCAGCCGCGGUAAUUCCAGCUCCAAUAGCGUAUAUUAAAGUUGUUGCAGUUAAAAAGCUCGUAGUUGAACCUUGGGCCUAGCUGGCCGGUCCGCCUCACCGCGAGUACUGGACCGGCUGGGCCUUUCCUUCUGGGGAACCCCAUGGCCUUCACUGGCUGUGGCGGGGAACCAGGACUUUUAC